AGUCCUCUUCACACACAAAAGGAGAGAUUCUUCUUCUUUUACUUCCAGCGAAGGAAAGCGUAUUCCUCGUGACUCUUUCUUUUCAUUUCCUUUCCCUCUCCUUCCUGGGGUUUAAAUCCUAAGCUACGCGAUCCACCCACCUCGCCGGAGAUUCAGGAACGAUUCUUUGCAGGAAAAUGACGUCGGAUGGGGCAACUUCGACGAUAGCGCCUCCGAGGAGGAAGCCGUCCUGGCGAGAGCGGGAGAAUAAUAGGAGGAGGGAGAGGAGGAGAAGAGCUAUAGCUGCUAAGAUUUUUACAGGGUUAAGGGCUCAAGGGAAUUACAAUUUGCCCAAACACUGUGAUAAUAAUGAAGUAUUGAAGGCUCUUUGUAUCGAGGCUGGUUGGGUCGUUGAAGAUGAUGGCACUACUUACCGUAAGGGAUGUAAGCCACCCCCAAUUGAUAUUGUGGGCACCUCUGCAAGAAUUACUCCAUACUCUUCACAAAAUCCAAGUCCAUUGUCCUCAUCAUUUCCUAGCCCAAUUCCGUCGUACCAAGUUAGUCCCUCUUCCUCUUCAUUCCCUAGCCCAUCUCGAUUUGAAAAUAAUGCUCCUUCUAAUCUCCUUCCCUUCCUCCAAAAUGCCAUUCCCUUGUCUCUCCCUCCUCUCCGAAUCUCCAACAGUGCACCUGUAACACCACCUCUUUCAUCCCCGACUGCAAAAAAUCCGAAGCCAAUUCCCAACUGGGAGUUAAUUGCCAAAGAAUCCAUGACCUCUUUAAAUUACCCUUUUUAUGCUGUGUCUGCCCCAGCUAGCCCAACUCACCGUCAAUUUCAUGCUCCAGCAACCAUACCUGAAUGUGAUGAGUCUGAUACAUCCACUGUUGAGUCUGGUCAAUGGAUAAGCUUUCAAAAAUUCCCGCCCUCUGUGGCUGCAAUGCCAACCUCACCAACCUAUAAUCUUGUGAAACCUGUUGCUGAGCAAAUUUUGUCCAGCAAUGUGAUGAAAGAGAAUGGGAGGAGUAUGGAAUUUGAGUUUGGGAAUGGACAGGUGAAGCCAUGGGAAGGAGAGAGGAUUCAUGAGGUAGGAUUGGAUGAUCUAGAGCUCACACUCGGAAAUGGGAAGGCUCGGAGUUAGGUUGGGCUGAUACGGCCAGUUGAAAAUCAUGGUGAGGGAAUGCUGGAACCAAAGAGAAGAUGCGGUAGAUGUUCCAGAAAAAGUAUUCUUACUCUAGUUUGUGGUACUUGACGUGCAUAACGGUAUGCAUUUCUUAGUUGCUUAUUGUUCACAAAACGCCAGCAGUAGUUGCUGAAGGAACCAAACUCCUUUUGAACCUGCAAAAUGAGCAACAAGUGGAUGCCAAUUAAGUUUUUAUCUUCAAAUGAAUGGAUGCCAAUGUUCUUUUAUUGGAACAGUUCCGUACUAUGAAGACUUGUACAAGUGUAUUGCAAUGUUGAGAACCAAGGUGGUGGUGUUAAGUUCUAGGGACAGGAGGGUUCUCAAUCAAUAUGUUUCAAAUAUCUUCUAGCAUCUCUUCUUCAGUUCUUCCCCAAUAAGAAAAUAUGCAUCCAUGAAGUCCCUAAGAUUGAUGCCAGGCCUACAGAAUUACCUUAAGCAGCAGUUUAGCAUUCUCUACUAUUGCACGAAGCUUUGGUUCAGAUAGCAAAAGAUUGCCAUUCACUUUCAGCGAUAGCAGCUUCUUCUCUGUAAACUGUGCAACAGACGAUGGAUCGAAGUUGUCAAAAAGUUUCCUGACACAUGGAUCCAACAAUAAAAAUCAGGCAAAAUGCAUGCUGACAUUUUUUUAAUUGACGCUAAUAACGGAAAGUGAAAAUUGCAUACCUGAAAGUGUCCCUCAUAUGAAGAAUUGCUGGCCAGCUCAUUUCUGCUAAUGCUUGCGAAAGUACAAGCAACUCAAACAGCUUCCUAUCAUCAUGAACUGGAAUUCCCCAUUCUUCAUCAUGGAAAGACACAUAAAGUGGAUCUACAGUGAAAAUCACCAAAAAGCCAUAGAGUUAGCUACAUGGUGGAAAGACAUAUAAUCCUGCUUGAAAUUAAGAAUUUUGUAAUAAUACAAUUGAAUUCUUUUUCGUCAA